AUUGAACGCUGGCGGCAGGCUUAACACAUGCAAGUCGAGCGGGGUGAUGGUGCUUGCACUAUCACUUAGCGGCGGACGGGUGAGUAAUGCUUAGGACUCUGCCUAUUAGUGGGGGACAACAUCUCGAAAGGGAUGCUAAUACCGCAUACGUCCUACGGGAGAAAGCAGGGGAUCACUUGUGACCUUGCGCUAAUAGAUGAGCCUAAGUCGGAUUAGCUAGUUGGUGGGGUAAAGGCCUACCAAGGCGACGAUCUGUAGCGGGUCGGAGAGGAUGAUCCGCCACACUGGGACUGAGACACGGCCCAGACUCCUACGGGAGGCAGCAGUGGGGAAUAUUGGACAAUGGGGGGAACCCUGAUCCAGCCAUGCCGCGUGUGUGAAGAAGGCCUUAUGGUUGUAAAGCACUUUAAGCGAGGAGGAGGCUCUUUUGGUUAAUACCCAAGAUGAGUGGACGUUACUCGCAGAACAAGCACCGGCUAACUCUGUGCCAGCAGCCGCAGUAA
rnacentral:rRNA from 1 species